rnacentral:tRNA from 1 species
GGUCCAUAGCUCAGUGGUACAACUUCUGCUUUAUAUGCAGAAGGUCCCAGGUUCAAUCUCCAUCAUUUCCAGGUAAGACCA